rnacentral:rRNA from 1 species
CUUGGUCAUUUAGAGGAAGUAAAAGUCGUAACAAGGUCUCCGUUGGUGAACCAGCGGAGGGAUCAUUACCGAGUUUUUAUUACUCAAAACCCUGCAAACCUACCUUAAUAUGCUUCGGUGGCCGGCCCCGGGGGGGGCGCUAUAACGGUCACCGACAGUAUUCAAAAUCUCUGUCAUUGUAUUCUGAUUAAACAAAAAAAAAACAAUCAAAACCUUCAACAACGGAUCUCUUGGUUCUGGCACCGAUGAAGAACGCAGCGAAAUGCGAUACGUAAUGUGAAUUGCAGAAUUCCGUGAAUCAUCGAAUCUUUGAACGCACAUUGCACCCGGUGGUAUUCCGCCGGGUAUGCCUGUCUGAGCGUCAUUUCUACCCUCAAGCCCUGCUUGGUGUUGGCGGAUUGCCCACUGUGGCAACCGCUGAAAAUGAAUGGCGGUAGCACGCUUGUCCCCUGUAGAGUAAUCACCCUUACAGCGGUCUAGUGGACGAACCAGCCCCAACCCCAAAGAAAUAGCAAAGUUGACCUCAGAUCAGGUAGGAAUACCCGCUGAACUUAAGCAUAUCAAUAAGCGGAGGA